rnacentral:rRNA from 1 species
UACGUAGGGUGCAAGCGUUGUCCGGAAUUAUUGGGCGUAAAGAGCUCGUAGGCGGUCUGUUGCGUCGGCUGUGAAAACCCGAGGCUCAACCUCGGGCCUGCAGCCGAUACGGGCAGACUAGAGUUCGGCAGAGGAGACUGGAAUUCCUGGUGUAGCAGUGAAAUGCGUAGAUAUCAGGAGGAAUACCGAUGGCGAAGGCGGGACUCUGGGCCGAUACUGACGCUGAGGAGCGAAAGCGUGGGGAGCGAACAGG